ACGAACGCUGGCGGCGUGCUUAACACAUGCAAGUCGAACGGAAAGGCCCUGCUUUUGUGGGGUGCUCGAGUGGCGAACGGGUGAGUAACACGUGAGUAACCUGCCCUUGACUUUGGGGUAACUUCAGGAAACUGGGGCUAAUACCGGAUAGGAGCUCCUGCUUCAUGGUGGGGGGUGGAAAGUUUCGGCGGUUGGGGAUGGACUCGCGGCUUAUCAGCUUGUUGGUGGGGUAGUGGCUUACCAAGGCUUUGACGGGUAGCCGGCCUGAGAGGGUGACCGGCCACAUUGGGACUGAGAUACGGCCCAGACUCCUACGGGAGGCAGCAGUGGGGAAUAUUGCACAAUGGGCGGAAGCCUGAUGCAGCAACGCCGCGUGCGGGAUGACGGCCUUCGGGUUGUAAACCGCUUUCGCCUGUGACGAAGCGUGAGUGACGGUAAUGGGUAAAGAAGCACCGGCUAACUACGUG
rnacentral:rRNA from 1 species